CUACGGGUUGCAGCAGUGGGGAAUAUUGCACAAUGAGCGAAAGCUUGAUGCAGCCAUACCGCGUGUGUGAAGAAGGCCCGAGGGUUGUAAAGCACUUUCAAUUGUGAGGAAGGUUCAGUAGUUAAUACCUGCUGUUCUUGACGUUAACUUUAGAAGAAGCACCGGCUAACUCUGUGCCAGCAGCCGCGGUAAUACAGAGGGUGCAAGCGUUAUUCGGAAUUACUGGGCGUAAAGCGCGCGUAGGCGGACUAUUAAGUCAGUUGUGAAAGCCCUGGGCUCAACCUGGGAACUGCAUCUGAUACUGGUAGUCUAGAGUUUAAGAGAGGGAAGUGGAAUUCCAGGUGUAGCAGUGAAAUGCGUAGAUAUCUGGAGGAACAUCAGUGGCGAAGGCGACUUCCUGGCUUAAAACUGACGCUGAGGUGCGAAAGCGUGGGUAGCGAACGGGAUUAGAUACCCGCGUAGUC
rnacentral:rRNA from 1 species